GCCAGCUCACCCCGACUUAUCCUGGAGUUUUCUGUCCUGAGUUUUCCAACUUCUGCAUGCAAUUUUCUCUCCCACGCCAGCAAGUUGACACAUUCAACUGAACUUUGCUGAGUUCCCGUUCAUGCUGGAGACAUAACAGCAAGCAUCUUUCCCCUCAGGCUGCUCCUUGCUGGGAUGGUUGAGGAAGGGCAAACGAGGAAAUACACCUGCACAAUAAGGUUUUAGAAUUGAGACAAAAUUCUACGAGCCUUAGAUGGAAGAACUGAAACCCCCAGCCGACCACAGCCUGGGCGCAUUUCCCUGGCUUUGCCUGAUGCAAGUUUCCAGUCAUCGCACAACUGUGUAGCUGGUAAAGCAGCCCAACCCCUCAAUGACUUAUAUAGAUGGUGUUCCUCUUUUCCAUGAGCAGCAGUGGUGACUUCUCAGAGACUUUGAGAGGCCUGAAGUAUAUCAUGUACUGGUUCACAUUUUCUGGGCCUUCUCUGUGCAAAUCUACAUUGUGGAUGGAAAUGGUGGACAGAACUAAGUACCACUCCUGAAGAAACCCAUCCUCGUGUCUCAGAGGGCAAAGCCAGGGCCACAUUCAGGCUCAUGCCCUCCUCAAGCCCAUAGUGCACCUCACCCGGCUGACCUUCACUUCCUGCUGCUCCCUCUGUUCAUUCCCUCAGCUCCCUCCCACUGUGGGUUUUGCCAGUUACUUCCACACUGACGCCCCCACCCCACCAGUCCACAUGUGACGGCCAUCCAGGCCUCCCACUAUCCUUCCCUUCCUAGCCAGGACCCUGCCCUCUUCUCCAGGUCCCUGCCAUUCCCUGACAACAUUGUGGGGAAGGAUUCCCCAGGCUGGCCCUCUCCACCCUGCACACAGGCUCCGCCCCAAGGCCAGGAUGGAAGUUUCAUUGAUGUGGUCACAUGGUCCCAAGUGAUCAGCCCUCUGGGCCUCCCCUACCCCCACGCCUCAUGCACACCGCCACCCUCAAGAGUGGGAAGCCAGGGAACCAUCUCAGGUCAUCUCAGGUCAUGCCCAUCAGUACCUUCCUUCAAGAUGCCCGCGCUGGCUGUAGGAGGGACUUUCUUCUUGCUAGAGACUUUUUCAUGGUUCAGUAAGCAUGGCCAUUCUUGCCCUAUGAUGACAUCCUUGGAUGAGUGCUAUGAUCAAUGUGACAUUUCAACGGUGCCUGACUGCUCACUCUGUGGAUGUGGACUGUGGCUGACCCACUGCCAGGCCAACAUCAAAGCCUACUCACUGCUCACUUCUACUGCGAAAUGGACUCAACACAGGCCGUGCAGACUCCGGCGGAGCCUGGGCUUCAUCUGGGACAGACUGACUGUGUGGACAGCUGUGAGGCUGUUAUGGUGAGGACGUGCCCCUAUAUGCGCAGGAGGCGAGGGGCCACCCUGUUUCCAACCUAGACAAAAGACAGGGCACGCGCACAAAAUAUAAAAUAAGAGCCCUGUUGACAUCCCUUCAGCCGGUCCUCCCAGCCCCAUUGUCCAGACCAAGCCCAAGGGGUGGGGGAAGCACAGUGUCCUCAGGGCAGUGGUCUGAGGUGCCUUCUGCCCCUUUCUGGGCUCUGGGGGGUGCUGGAGGCCUCCUCAGGGUUGCCAGGGCUGGGUGCUGUGCGUGCAUGGCUCCUGGGCACCUGCUGUGGUUGGAAUGCUUGUGCCCCUCCCAAAUUCAUGUGGGAACAAUCUCCACUGCAAAAGUGUAGCUAGAUGAGGCCUUCAGGAGGUGAUUAGGUCAUGCGGG